UUCAAACGGAUAACCGCAUCAUAACGUCUUCUGAUUCCUGCCAUAAAUCGACUAAUUUGUUGCUAAGAUAGCAGCACCCAUUUCUGAUAAAGAGCAUUGUUUAUUUCAUGAUGUGUUUGAAAUAGGGUGUCCUUUCACGCACUUUCCGCCCAAUAGUGUCCCAUAUAUGCUCGAUAUGGUUCAAAUCCGGGCUACGAUCGGGCCAAGGAAGAUGAACCGAAUUCUAUUGGAACAAUGGAUCUUCCUCCACGAUGCUAAUUUUCAACUUUAGCGAGCUGUGCACUACAUUGGAUACGGAAAACUGUGUGUCUGUUCGUAAGCAAAGGUCUCCGAAAUGGUAUUAUCGCACGAUAACCAGU
rnacentral:lncRNA from 1 species